GAUGAACGCUGGCGGCGUGCCUAAUACAUGCAAGUCGAGCGAACAGAUGAGGAGCUUGCUCCUCUGACGUUAGCGGCGGACGGGUGAGUAACACGUGGAUAACCUACCUAUAAGACUGGGAUAACUACGGGAAACCGGAGCUAAUACCGGAUAAUAUAUUGAACCGCAUGGUUCAAUAGUGAAAGACGGUUUUGCUGUCACUUAUAGAUGUAUCCGCGCCGCAUUAGCUAGUUGGUAAGGUAACGGCUUACCAAGGCAACGAUGCGUAGCCGACCUGAGAGGGUGAUCGGCCACACUGGAACUGAGACACGGUCCAGACUCCUACGGGAGGCAGCAGUAGGGAAUCUUCCGCAAUGGGCGAAAGCCUGACGGAGCAACGCCGCGUGAGUGAUGAAGGUCUUCGGAUCGUAAAACUCUGUUAUUAGGGAAGAACAAAUGUGUAAGUAACUAUGCACGUCUUGACGGUACCUAAUCAGAAAGCCACGGCUAACUACGUG
rnacentral:rRNA from 1 species